UGCCCCCUCGUUCUCUCUUCUUACUCAAACUCUCCCCCUCCCUCGUUUUUCGCACACUGAACUCUGCGCUCACAGUCAGGUUCCGAGCUGCCCGGAGAAAAGAGAGCGUGACAAUAGAAUAGUUUGCCUGUCAUGCUGCUAUUUGGAAACUGUCUGGAGUUUGAUAUAGGAGUACGACGCGGCUACGGACCUACUAGUUUUUUGUUAUUUUAAUGCUACCACAGAGAUUUCAGGAGGAGCGUGCUUCACCUCAAGCGAACACAGCCAAGGUCGGAGGGGCGGGAUGAAAACAGAAGAGACCCAAUCAUGUCUUCAGCAGGCUCCCUCCUCCACGCCAUUUGGUUCAGAGCACGGGGGCGGCGGAGGGGGUGAGGUGUGUGCGGGGUGUGAAUCGCCAAUCGCGGACCGUUUCCUGCUGCGUGUCAACGAGCGCUCGUGGCACGAAACCUGCGUUAAGUGUGCGGUGUGUCUGAGCGCACUCAGUGGGACCUGCUACUGCAGAGAUCGUCUGCUCUACUGCAAGCACGACUACGAGAAGCUGUUUGUCAGGAAGUGCAGUGCGUGCCUGCAGGUGAUUGGUCGCUCAGAGCUGAUCAUGCGGGUGCUCGGCCAGGUGUACCACCUGGGCUGUUUCAGCUGCUGUGAGUGUGAACGUCGGCUGCAGCGCGGAGACGAGUUCGUCCUGAAGGAAGGGCAGCUGCUCUGCCGGGGAGACUACGAGAAGGAACGGGAGAUGCUGGCAGCCAUCAGCCCCACCCCCACCGAGUCAGUGAAGAGUGAGGAUGAGGAUGGUGGGGGCGGUUCUGUAGGGGGGAAGGGCGGCGAAGGGAAGGACCACAAGCGGUCCAAGCGGCCACGUACCAUCCUGACCACACAGCAGCGCAGAGCUUUCAAGGCCUCCUUCGAGGUGUCCUCCAAGCCCUGCAGGAAGGUGAGAGAAACUCUGGCAGCUGAGACUGGUCUGACGGUUCGCGUCGUACAGGUGUGGUUCCAAAACCAGAGAGCAAAGAUGAAGAAGAUUGCUCGCAGGCAGCAGCAACAGCAACAGCAACAGGAGCAGGAGCAGCUGGGAGGGUCCAGGAGAGGGCCAAGCAGAGGGGGUCGUCAGAGCAACGAUGACAGCGAGGAUGGCUCUAGUGGUCACGGAUUGGAAAGUCUGUUGGCGUACCCCUCAUUGCCACGACAGCAGCUGUUGGCUCUGGACCCCAACAUUUACGGAGGAGAGCCGUUCCGUCAUGGCCUCACACCCCCUCAGCUGGGCUCAGAUCAGCUUCACUAUGAUUCAGAGACUGUGUUUCAUGAUCUGGACAGCGAUGGGAGCCUCAGUCAUCUCGGGGACUGUCUCUUGGCAACGUCAGACGGUGGGGUACUGACAGGGCGGGUGGGAAACCCCAUUGACCGUCUCUACUCCAUGCAGAACUCUUACUUCACCUCCUGACCCCUCAUCUUUGACCUCGGACCCGCGACUCAUUCAACUCUAAAGAAGCAGUUAAUGUAUGUUCAACUGGGCCUACGCCAUUAAACUUCAUCUCAACAGACCAGCUGUAGCUGACAGGCAGGUCCUAUGAUGUGUUCUGUCUAAUACAUUGUCUUUAUUUAACGUUUUUCACUGAGGAAUUUACACUGAGGAA